UUUAACAUAAAACCGGAUGAUAUCACAUCUCUCACAUAUCCGGUGCCGUGUUACUGCAGCGCUACACUUUGGCUGAUCACCACCGCAGCUUGCAAAUUUAGCUGGUUAUUGCAUCAUUUACUUUUACGAAGCUUGAAUAUUAUUUAAAGGGAAUCGGCUUUCUUUAGCAAAGUCAUUAAUUUGCUAAUUUAGCAACCUUUUGAGUACGCUUGGCGCUAACAAACUAAAUUAAUAGGAAGUUACGCUAUUCACUCUUAACUGAGAAUCAUCAGUAACGUAGCAAUUUUCUACAACAUGUCCUGUUGGGUACCACAAAUUUCUGAAGGGAUGAACAUCUACCACAUCCAUCCGCCACCGUAUGGCAGCGGUAAUCGGCGAAAGUCAUCCGUGUCGGACGACGAGCAUGGUCAUAAUAUCAUGCCCAGGCUUUUCCGUAAAAGUAUGGAUGCCGGGAACGUUGACAUUGAGAAAAGAAAGCGCUGGCCAUACCGCAUGUGGCAUCGCCGUGCGUCUUCAAUGUCGGAAGAUAAACAUGAUGGACAUGGAACUGGUGGACAGACCACAAAUUCUGGAAAUAACGGGCCACAAGAAAAAUUCCAGCGGGACGUUGCCGAUACUUCGCCGGCUUCUCAGUCUAUUUCCGGACACGAACAACGUUCCCGAGCUCAUUCCGACCAUUAACCGCGUAAUCUGGCGCUGUUACAAUAAUACUGUACACAAUUUAAUUGCAUAACGGCAAUUUGCCAGAAUAAUCGGUAUUUUUCUUUGACGAUGGGAUACUGCAGUCGCUUUUCCGGCAACAUCGAUGGUUAUACUUUCCAAAGAAAUGUAUCAUAACAUUAGGCGUGCUGCACGCUGCAGGGGCAAAUUAGAGUUCAAAAGUUUACUGGAGCAACUGUAAAUUAUUUUUUCCCAGUGUUCGGGUUUUGGAUGUCAUCUUACUUGUUGUAUCGGAAUAUUGCUAGUUUAACUUUGCACUGUCUUUUACAGACUAAUGUUAAUAACUACUUGUUUUUUCGCGUGGGAACUAUGUAUUGCUGCCGAAGCUAUGGCUGGAGCUUUUUUUGCUUGGAACAUGUACAUAAGUUGUGUUCAACUGAAUAAAACGAAAAACUGA